UUUGAGGUCUUGUAUUCCUAUA
rnacentral:siRNA from 1 species